rnacentral:rRNA from 1 species
CCUACGGGCGGCAGCAGUGGGGAAUAUUGGACAAUGGGCGAAAGCCUGAUCCAGCCAUGCCGCGUGUGUGAAGAAGGCCUUCGGGUUGUAAAGCACUUUCAGUGGGGAAGAAAGCCUUGGGGCUAAUACCCUCGAGGAAGGACAUCACCCACAGAAGAAGCACCGGCUAACUCCGUGCCAGCAGCCGCGGUAAUACGGGAGGGUGCGAGCGUUAAUCGGAAUUACUGGGCGUAAAGCGCGCGUAGGCGGUCUGAUAAGCCGGUUGUGAAAGCCCCGGGCUCAACCUGGGAACGGCAUCCGGAACUGUCAGGCUAGAGUGCAGGAGAGGAAGGUAGAAUUCCCGGUGUAGCGGUGAAAUGCGUAGAGAUCGGGAGGAAUACCAGUGGCGAAGGCGGCCUUCUGGACUGACACUGACGCUGAGGUGCGAAAGCGUGGGUAGCAAACAGGAUUAGAUACCCCAGUAGC